rnacentral:rRNA from 1 species
UGGGGAAUAUUGGACAAUGGGGGCAACCCUGAUCCAGCAAUGCCGCGUGUGUGAAGAAGGUCUUCGGAUUGUAAAGCACUUUCGACGGGGACGAUGAUGACGGUACCCGUAGAAGAAGCCCCGGCUAACUUCGUGCCAGCAGCCGCGGUAAUACGAAGGGGGCUAGCGUUGCUCGGAAUGACUGGGCGUAAAGGGCGUGUAGGCGGUUUACACAGUCAGAUGUGAAAUCCCC